rnacentral:rRNA from 1 species
GACUCUUAGGGGCCAUAGCUCAGUUGGGAUGAGCGCGUGUCUUUGCUAAGCAUGAGGUCGUCGGUUCGAUCCCGUCUGGCUCCACCAUUUCCUGCAUUCCGAUGAGGGAUGCGGUCGAGAUGGUCGGUGGUGAAGCGCUUCAAGCGUGAGAGAAGAACAUCCGGUUCUUUUCUCUUCUGUCCGCACAAUCUGUUUCGCUGAUCCUCAGCAAGCCCCCAUGUGGGCGAGGAUGAGCGCUGCUGUCUGACAUUGUGAAUCUGGGCGUUUUCGAUUUGCUGGCCGCAAGGCUGGCGGGUCGUGACAAUCAAGCUUUCGGGCUUGAGAGGACACGAUCAUCGGGUGCUGACCGCACCGGUGUCGAAAAUGUCGAAGCUGGUCUUUAGCGUCCAGCCCUCUCGCUGAUCCGCCUGGUGCGGAUUGAUGAGAACCUCAGCC